CCCGCUCAGCCGGGAAACGAGUCUGGUCGCUCCUCCCUCCGCGGCCCAAGGCCUUGCGGCCACGGCGGGUCCGCCUCAGGGGCGGCGGGUCAACGGCUGGGCUCGUGAGGGCUGACGAGGAGGAAGUCUUUUGUGCUUCCAUAAGGACAAUAGUUUCUGUGGCUGAAACAUCCUGUUCAGAGGGUUACAAUAAAACACUUUGCACUUGAAUUGUUUGCCUUCCUGACCCUUCAGCUUUCUGCCAGCUUCUGACUGUGCCUGCAACUCCAAAGCUCUGCAGCCAUCCCUGCCACCAACAGCAAGUUCCUGCUGCUGUCAGUUGAAAGCCUGUUUACCUUUGAACUCAGUGGGAACGAGAACUGGGCCCGUGUGUAACUGUGGGAAAUAAUUGACUGUAGUAACAUUUCCAUCAGCCCUGUGAGUUGAUUUGAACCAAAUUACUCAGGAAACUCAAAAACCCGAUGCAAGGUUUCUAUGAUGGAUUUUUCCAAGGCAAAAAUCUGUGAACUGGCUUCACACCACCAGCACAGGGUAGGUUUUCCAUCACGAGAUUGAUGCUACCCUUGAGCCUGAAAAUGGCUGGCAAGAGACUUGUGGGUGACUGGAGGGGACUGUCACCAGUGCCUGUGGGGAGAGGUUGGAGUCACUCAGGCAGAGCAAGUCCUUCUCUGAGACAACUGAUGCUUGGCAGGUUGCAAACAGAGCAAAACUAAAAGUGGCAAAUGCACUAUUUCUGUGCAUGGCAGACAGAGCAGAGAGCAAUUACACUCCCCAGUAUGGAACAUCUCCCAUUAACGAGGCUCAGUUUGCUGCUGGGGGUUCGGUGGGAUUCAGUUCCAGUGGGCUGUGGCACAGACCCUAAAUACAGAACAUUACAUGACCUUAAUGUUGCUUUUGAAAAUAGGCUGCUGAUACUGAGACUUACAUAAAGAAAUACAUAAAUUUACUCUUCAACAUGGUGCAUAAAUGCCCUGUGGCAAACAUCUAUUAGAGAAGUAAAAUGUAAUUAAGGUUACUUAAUACUGGGAAAGUAAACAUUACUUGG